GACGAACGCUGGCGGCGUGCCUAAUACAUGCAAGUCGAGCGGACGAUUCGACUGCUUGCUCUUGAAUCGUUAGCGGCGAACGGGUGAGUAACACGUGGGCAACCUGCCCUGUAGACGGGGAUAACACCGAGAAAUCGGUGCUAAUACCGGAUAAAACGAGAAGUCGCAUGACGUUUCGUUGAAAGGCGGCGUAGGAUGCCGCUAAAGGGAUGGCCCGCUGCGCAUUAGCUAGUUGGGGGGGUAAGGGCACCCCAAGGCGAAGAUGCGUAGCCGACCUGAGGGGGGGAUCGGCCCCACGGGGACUGGGACACGGCCCAGACUCCUACGGGAGGCAGCAUGAGGGAAUCUUGCGCAAUGGACGAAAGUCUGACGGAGCAACGCCGCGUGGUGGAAGAAGGCCUUCGGGUCUGAAAGCUCUGUUGUUAAGGAAGAACAAGUAACGAAGUAACUGACCAUACUAUGACGGUACCUAACGAGAAAGGCACGGCUAACUACGUG
rnacentral:rRNA from 1 species